GACGAACGCUGGCGGCGUGCUUAACACAUGCAAGUCGAGCGGUAAGGCCCUUUCGGGGGUACACGAGCGGCGAACGGGUGAGUAACACGUGGGUGACCUGCCUUUAGCUCUGGGAUAAGCCUGGGAAACUGGGUCUAAUACCGGAUACGACUCCGCGGUGCAUGCUGUGGGGUGGAAAGCCUUGUGCGGCUGGAGAUGGGCCCGCGGCCUAUCAGCUUGUUGGUGGGGUGAUGGCCUACCAAGGCGACGACGGGUAGCCGGCCUGAGAGGGCGACCGGCCACACUGGGACUGAGACACGGCCCAGACUCCUACGGGAGGCAGCAGUCGGGAAUUUUGGGCAAUGGGCGAAAGCCUGACCCAGCAACGCCGCGUGAAGGAUGAAAUCCCUCGGGAUGUAAACUUCGCAAGAACGGGAAGAAUAAGGUAGGGGACAAUACCCCCUAUGAUGACGGUACCGUUUGUAAGCUCCGGCUAACUCCGUGCCAGCCGCCGCCGUAAU
rnacentral:rRNA from 1 species